GUGAGCAGCACGUACGCCGUGCUGGGCACGGAGAAGCAGAAGGAAGCCGGGUACAUGAGCGGCGUGAUCGACCAGCUGGGGGCAAUGGGAGUCGCCAGGUGACCAGCCGGACGGGGGGCUCAGUGGCCCCGAGGGGACGAGUGCGGGUCCCUCCCGUCCUCGCUGCUCGGGCUCUGGAGACGGGAGUCCGCACGAGCUGAGCUCGAAGGCCAUUUGGGCAUCCCGUGGAGUGAGGUCACAGCUGCGGUCACCUCCGGCCUUGGGACCUGCUCUGGCGUCCCAGCUCCCCACUGGGGAUCGGGCAGGGCACGGGGCCUGGGGGGCCCUGGGGGGCUCUGGGGGGCCGGGGGUCUCACCCGUACAGUAAGAGCAGCAGCAGGAGGGCGGGCAGGUUGGCGGGUGCCACGUAUGCCUUCUGCUGGAAGGCCAGGAAGAUGAGCACCACGAUGCACGCCGGCACCAAGUAGUUACACUGCGGUGGAGACGGCAGGGACCCCCCGUCAGCGUGCACGGGGCGGGAUGCCCCAUCUCCCGCCAUUCCCGAGACGUCCCCGCCCCCCAGGGCCAGUCCCUGCCCGGAAGGGGCCAGAAGGGGCAGUGGCGAGCGGUGGCCGGGCCCCCACCCCUCCGGGCCGUCCGCGCACCAUGUCCCAGAGGAAGUUGCUGAGCCAGUAGAGAGUGGGGGGCAGGCCCCCCAUGAACUGCAGGUGUUUGGCUCCCGUGACGCGCUCCUCGAUGAGGACGAGAGUGAAGCUGGCCGGGAUGAAAGACAUGGCGAAGACCACACAGAUGGACACGAGCACGUCCACUGAGGAGGCCAUCCUGGGGGGGAGGGCGCGUGCCACUGACCGGUCUACAGGGCGGCCCACGGGGGUGGGGACAUGGCCCGGGACGUUCGGGGGGACGCGGGCGGCGGCUGGCAAGGAGAGGUCGCAUGGGUCUCUGACGAGGACAUGCGGGCCGUCGGGGGAGAGCGGAGCCCCGCUGGGCCCGGUGACGUCCCGUGACCCCGGCUUAGUGGACAGAGACGGGUUCUUGUUCCCCCAUUCACACAGUGGAGCGUGACGGAGGGCAAAUCCAGCCCGCAUCCCCCGAGACGACGGAGAAACUGAGGCAGCGGAGCCCACACAGGGCUGAGGGACUCACAUCGUGGCCUCGGACAGCUGCUCCUUGGCCGCGAGCCCACACCGUGAGGUUGUUCAGGAGGCGGUCAAGGGCCCCGCCGGGCUGGGGACUCAACAGCGCCCGCAGCUCCUCCACCGAGCGGCCCACCUCGUGCCCCGAGGGCAGGCUGGGGUCUCGGCCCCCGAGGGAGAAGCCCCCGUACCUGUGGGUCAGUGGGGGCAUGGCGGGCGGCUGACGGCCGUGGUCAUGGGGCGAGCCCCCCGGCGGGCGGGCAGGGGCUGCAGCCAGGGGCCUGGGGUCGGGGGGCCCCCUCCUCACCUGAUCUCGUUCACCCACUUCUUGGUCUUCAAGCUACAGGGAAGAUGGACGGACAAACAGACACAUAGGGAGGACAGGGACGUGAGGGGGACGGACAGAGAUGACAGGGGGGCAGUAGGAUUGUAAAGACGGGAGGCGCAGGGGGCACUCAGGGACCCUCCGGCCCGCCCGCUGAGACCCCCGACCCGCACGGCUCACCCCUGGUGCACCAGGCGCGGGUAGGUCUUGACCAGGAAGUCGGACAGGUUGCGGCCGGUGAGGUUCUGCACCAGCUCCCCGGAGCUGCCAGGGGCCUGGGGCGGCGGGGGGCCGCCAGCCGCGGCGGGGCAGGCGGGCAGCAGGCGCCGGGCGCCGGGCCGGCUGCACUGGCAGGCCGGGGAGGGGGACCCCGGGGUCCAGUUGCCGCUGGCCAAGACCGCGGCCACGUCCGGGGGGACCUCGGGCACCGAGAACCUGUGGGGGGUGGGGGGCGGGGCUGUGGGCUGCAGGCCGGGGAGGCUCCGGGGACCCCCCCGAGGCCCACAGGCAGGGCGCUGAGGGGGAAACCGAGGCCGGCCCUCACCCAUGGGAGCCGUUCUUCUGGGCCGGCUCCUGCACUCCUGCCUCCUCCAGCAGCGCCUCCAGCAGGCGGGUGCGCUCGGGGUCCCCAGGGGCGUCCUCGCUGUGGGUGGGGGGCGGGGUCAGCGCUGCGUCCCCAGCCCCUGGCCCUCCCGCCACCCCCACCACCCGCACCCACCUGAAGAAGGAAACCUGGGCCCCGUACAUGGUGGGGCUGAGCCGCAGGGCCGGGUAGUGUCCGAACGGCGGCACGAUGAGGCUGAACGCCAGCGCCAGCCCCACAAACAGGGCCGGCAACACCAUCUGGAGGACCGGCCGUCAGCUGCCCUCCCGCCCCUGCUCUACAAUCAUCCCUGGCUCCCCAGUGCUCCCACUGCAGAUGUUCAGAGUAGGGACUUGCCCGGGGUCAGGUGGCUGAGUUAGGCCACCUGAGUGGAGGCAGGCACCCAUGUCCCCCCGCAUCCCCCGGGGCCCCCGCACCUGGGCGAACAGGCCACAGUGGCUGCGGCUGGCCAGCAGCAAGCGCUUCAGGAGCAGGGCCCGGAGCUGUUGGCGGGCCAGCGUCCAGCCCUCCACACGGCCUGCGGCGGCCGGCCCGGAGCCCCGCAGGGCCUGUGUCUCUGGGGCCAAGCCAGCUGCAGGGGGCUGACCCCUCCGGCAGGAUCUUGAGCUGAGUGUCUGCGUCCAGGGGAGCAAUGUCCGUGCCCAGGGGCUGCCUGCGGCCACCAUCUGUGGAGCCACCGGGGGGCCAGGGUCAGGGGCCACCGUUCAGCCUGGGGUCUGGGUCAAGGCCAAAGGUCACAGAUGCAGGGCUCAGGGGUCAGGGAUGGAGGUCAGGGCUGCGCAUUGGGCCAGACUCAGCGAGGGAUGAGCACUUGGUCUGAAGCCAGGGCCAACUCUGGACCAGGGUUAGGGGUCGAGGACAGGGGCCUGCGGCCACACCUUUUGGGUCCGAGUCCCCAGCACAGUCCUCCAUCACCUUCAGGAAGAUCUGGAGAGACCAAAUGGGGGCUCAGACGCUGUGUGUCCCCCAGGCCUCCCCAAGGGACUCAGAGCCGCCCCUCCCUGGGCUGCCCUGCUGUCAGGAAGCAGAGCCCUCCUCCACCUCCAGGCAGGCCUCCCCCCUCCGGCAGCCGCACCUCCUCCAGGCCGGUGUCAGAGAUCCCGUAGCCGGUCAGCCCCAGCUCCCCCAGCCGCAGGUCCAGGUCGCGGAAGAGCCCGGCGAAGCUGCCGUCCAGGGCGCCCUCGUAGGGCAGCGCCAGCACCAGCUCGUGCGGCAGCUCCUCCACCAGCCGCGCCCCGGGCACGUGGCUCUGCACCAGGGCCAGCAGCCGGGGCGCAGCCGGGGGUGCAGCGGGGGGCGGUGGGGCCCAGCCUCCCUGGAGUAGGGGCUUGGUCACCCAGGAGGUGCCCAUCCCUGUGGGCAGAGGGGGUCAGGGUUAAGCACCCGACAGCAGGACUUGGCCGGGGGUCAGCAUGGAGUCCACCUAAGGUCAGAGGUCACAGGGAGGUUUGUGUGCGGGCUCAGCCCAGGUGAGGUUAAAGGCAGGGGCUGGAGUCAGGCUCACCCGGGGUCAGGGGUCAGUCUGGGGUCGUGAGGCCCUGUUGCCACUGCCCCCACCAGCCCUCCCUUUGGCUCUCCCUCCCCAGCCCUCACCGGCCGUGCCACCCGGCUCCUCCUGCCUCCUGUCUUCCAAGUCGGCAUCACCCUGCGGGCCGAGGGACACCGACUGCCAUGGCCAUCGGGGCUGGACAUAGCCUUGGGGGGUCAGGGGUCAGUCCGGCCCUCACCUUCUUGCUGGUGGCCAGGGGCGGGGGACCUUUGACCAGUGUCAGGUAGUAGCCAGAGCCGAAGUGACGCCGUAGGAAGAGCAGGGAGCCACAGCAGCACAAGCGGCCGGCCGCCACCACCGCCACGCGGUCUCCCAGGAGCUCCGCCUCAUCCAGGUGAUGUGUGGAGAGGAUCAGUGUGCGCCCUGGUCACGGGGACCCAACCCACGUGGACCAUCAGGCCACCAGCUGUCUGCCUGAACUGUGCCCUCCACCGAGAAUUGCCUGCCUGUGCGGCAAACUCCUGCUCACCCCUCAAAACCCCACCUCCAGCACCUCCUCCUCAGGAACCUUGUCUCCUCCUUAGAAACCUUUUCUGGCCCCUCAAAUGGAACCCAGGGGAACCCUAGGCCACCCACAACUCUUACCUUCGCGGUAUUUGAGCAGCAGCUCCCAAAUACCGCGGCGAGAAGCAGGGUCCACGCCAGCGGUGGGCUCGUCCAGGAUAACGACCUGGGAGCCACCCACAAAGGCGAUGGCCACCGAAAGCUUCCGCUGCAUCCCACCUGGGAAGGGACGGGGG
ensembl:lncRNA